CGCGGCCGGGGCGGUGCGCAGGGAGCGUGCGGUGCGCGGUGUCUGCCGGCGCGGCCCUGUCCCGCGCCUCCGCCGCCUCGGGGAGCGCCGCGAAGGAGUAGAGCCGGGGCCGGUGGGAAAGGGGCGGGGAGGGCCUGCGUAGGGCCCGCUCAGUGUCGCGGCGGAGGCUGCUGGCUCCCGCCCGCUUCUCUCUCUCCUUCCCUCCGUCGCUGCCUUAACAGCGGUCACGGGCCCGACCUUGUCCUUGCCCGUUUGUCCGGCGCCCUGCGUGAGGCCGGGGUCACUCGUGUCCCGGAGAGCCGCGGAUCCUGCCGCCGAGAGCCGGCCGCAUCGGGCGGUUUGUCCGUCAUGCGCUGCCUAGAGCUGCUGGUAGUGCCCGCGGGCCGGGGGAGGCGUGCGGUGUUCCCCGCAAACCUGCAGCCUUCGGCUGUAUAUAGGGCCUACACACAGCUUACGUACAUGGAGAAUAUGUCACCGGAGGGCAAGCACUUUUUCCCUGGCAUUUAUAGCGUCAACAAGCAGAGGCUUGCCGGGCAAGAAGGACAUAGAACUGGGUAAUAGAAAGAAAAGUUUUGUAUGCAGAAGUUAUUGUGGAAGAAGGAAACGAGAGAUGACAAUCAGGUAGAGGUUAAAAUAUGUCAGGAGAAUGAAUUGUGAUGGGAAGAUGAAGAAAAGCAGACAUCACUUGAACCUUUCAGCUUCACAGCAUAGAGUACUUCCAGGGGAGUUGAGCCCCUCUUGCAAAAGCGUUGUGAAGCCUAGUAUUGUGAGGACUAAUAUACUGAGAUAUUAGGGGAGUUCUGUGCUUCAUUAGGUGACUGUAGACCUCAAAGGAUUAGUGCAUUAAUACAUAGUACUUCAAAGUUACCUAAUGAAACUACUCUGUGGUUGGUGUGGUGAAGAACUUUCCACGAGGGGUUCACGGAAACAGGCAAAUAACAGAGGAAGAUGCCAGAAAAUUGUUGACCAGAGUUCAGAAUAACCAUAAAACACUUCUUCAGGUUUCACCAUGUACUCAAAACCGUUUGCAAUACUAACUUUACUGUUCACAAAGAUGGCGAAAAUAUUAUGGGGUAGAAAUCCUGUCCAAAUAAUUUAGUCAAAUCUCUGAAAAUACAUAUACAGAACAAGAGAAUUGUUUGCUGACUUCUAAUUCUAUUGGUUUACUUUCCACAGACUCAGCCAUCUAGAGAAUGCUGUAGUAGAAGGCAACGUGAUUCUAUUCAGUUGCUAAUUAUCAAGGACACAAGCUGAAAAGGAAUUAGCAGAGACUCUGUUCUUUUUCGUUUUGAGGAUUUUUAAAUCACUACACAGAACCCGGCAAGAAGUUUUUAAAAAUGAUACCAGAGCCCUUGAAGCUGCAAGACAAAAGAUAAAUGAAGAAUUCAAAAAUCACCACGAUGAGACAUCUGAAGAGAAGAUAAAUGAGCUUCUGAAAAUAGCUUCAGAUGUUGAAGUGAUUCUUAGAACUUCUGUUAUUCAGGCUGUUCACACAGAUUCCAACAAAAUAGUGCUCGUACCGAGGAAAGAUCUGCUACAAGACAAUACUCCUUACUUUGAGAAACCGACAAAAAAGCAUGAAUCCUGAGGAAAAUACGUCCCUCUUCCCAGAAGGCUAAUAUCCUGUAAUGAGAUCUCUGAAAACCAAUAGUGGAUACCUGUAUUAAAGUUAAAUUUAAAAAAUUGUUGAAUAUUGUUACCAGGAAAACAGGAACUGAAACCAAGUCACUGAUUUUAUUGUACUCUGUGGUAUCAUCUCACAUUUCUCCUGUGGAAGAUACUAAUACUUCCACAGAAGUGGAUACUGAGACUUCCACUUCAAGACACACAAUUGUCAUGAGAAUACACUGCUGAAUUGUGUUACUUCAGCCAGAAAUGUUUUUAAUUAUGACAGUUGUCAGAGAUUGUUUCCUAGCAAUCCAGAAGGUUUUGGGGUGGGUUUUUUUUUGUCUUUCAAAACUAAAUACAAGUUAAAUGCGUUCUUAAUCCUGAUGAUAUUUAUUUAUAAGUUUAUUGUCAAUCAUGUACUGCUUUGAAGUAAUGAAAGACCAUCUUGUGGCACUUGCCAUGAAAUUUAUGCUUUGCACCAAAAGCAUGAUUUCUAAAGUUGUCAUCAGUUGUACACUAAUAUACUGUGAUGCUUGAGAGAGUUCUUAAGGCUUAUCUGAAUAAAUUAUUUAGGUUUUGCAGAUGUGA